AAGAAGUUCUUCGUCGGCGCCUAGCGACGCCCAACACCUGUCCAAACACUGCCUGCUGAAGAUGAAGUCUUACUACAGAAAUUAAGAGAGGAAUCAAGAGCUGUCUUUCUACAAAGAAAAAGCAGAGAACUGUUAGAUAAUGAAGAAUUACAGGCAAUUUUUCACAGCAAAAGUCUUUGCUAAACUCCUUCAUACAGAUUCAUAUGGAAGAAUUUCCAUCAUGCAGUUCUUUAAUUAUGUCAUGAGAAAAGUUUGGCUUCAUCAAACAAGAAUAGGACUCAGUUUAUAUGAUGUCGCUGGGCAGGGGUACCUUCGGGAAUCUGAUUUAGAAAACUACAUAUUGGAACUUAUCCCUACGUUGCCACAAUUAGAUGGUCUGGAAAAAUCUUUCUACUCCUUUUAUGUUUGUACAGCAGUUAGGAAGUUCUUCUUCUUUUUAGAUCCUUUAAGAACAGGAAAGAUAAAAAUUCAAGAUAUUUUAGCAUGCAGCUUCCUAGAUGAUUUAUUGGAGCUAAGGGAUGAGGAACUGUCCAAGGAGAGUCAAGA
rnacentral:lncRNA from 1 species